UAACCACAUAAUCCAGUCCUUAGAUAAUAGACACAAUCUGGUUGACCAGGGCGAUCUGGGUAUGCACUUGAUGGAGCCAUACCACCUUGUUCCUGAUUAUCGUGGAUUUUCAACCUCCAAAUUGCAUCUUCAAUAUUAUCAGGAGAUUGAUUUGGCAAAGCAUUGCUCUUAACCUGCCUAUUUUUGUUGUUAUUAUUACUAUUAUCUGGCAUCGGUAACACAAAAUUCCUAUAAAAUAACUAGUCUCGAUUUCUUCUUCUCCUGCUUCUUCUUCUCUGUUUACCUUCGAAUAAACAAUCAA
rnacentral:misc_RNA from 1 species